rnacentral:tRNA from 1 species
UGAGGUGUAGCUUAAUUGUUAAAGCACCGAGCUUUUAAUUCGGGUGAUUUAGGUUCAAAUCCUAAUACCUCAACAA